CACGGCGUGGCUGCUGAGGCACAGCUGUGCUUUGGGCUCCAGCAGGAGCCCUGUGGGGGUUUCUGCAGGGUGCAGAACCGCCAGGCUCUGCCUGCAGCAUCCCUGCCCCUUGCUGGAUGCAGAGCUGCUGUGGGGCUGCAGAAAUGGGGACAAGGCGGAGCUCCUGCACAGAAGUAAGGACUGAAACUCUUGGUACCUGUAUGCUCAUUUUCCUGGAUUUCUGACUUGGAAAGCCUCUCUGUGCUGCAGUACCUGUUCCCAAGGGCAAGGAAUUUCACAGCUCCUCAGGAAGAACUAAAGCAGACAACAACAACAACGAAAACCCUGUAAAAGCAGAAAUUACUUUCUUUUGUAAUCAAGUUGAUUAGACUCGUGUA
rnacentral:lncRNA from 1 species